UAUUAUGCAACUUUUCACUCC
rnacentral:miRNA from 2 species